GCUGCGGCGGCGCACUUGCAUUACCUAAACCAAGCAAAGCAAACCCAAGCCACCCUAUCCCCACCGCCACCUCUUCAUAUACAUAUGCUUGUGUGCCUUUGUCUCUUUUUAUGGUCAAAACCCCUUCUGUCUCUUUUUAGCCUGGAAGAGGAAAGAUUUGAUCUUUCUUCCUUACCAGUUGUUUAAUUUCUGUUCUAUUCCAUUGCUUGUAAGCCAGGGACUGUCUGGCAAGCAGGUGUAAAUGGCUCUGGUGAACAGAAACUUUGCCCAUAUGGGUCCAACUCCUAUUUUGAGGAGUGAUUUGUUAAUUGGAUACACAGAACAGAACUCGUUGAUGAUGGAGAAGAGGCAGUUGUUCCUGAGAAGCUAUCAGUUCUGCAGAAAAAAGAGUCUGACAGAAAGAAUCAAGAGAUCUUUGGUCAGAGUGAAGAAAGUGAUAUGGCUGAGACUACGAUCUGCUCGUAAACU
rnacentral:misc_RNA from 1 species